GCAAGUCGAACGAGAAAGUACCUUCGGGUGCGAGUACAGUGGCCGACGGGUGAGUAAUGCAUAGGAAUCUGCCCAGUAGCGGGGGACAACUCGGGGAAACUCGAGCUAAUACCGCAUAUUUCCUAAGGGAGAAAGACUUCGGUCGCUAUUGGAUGAGCCUAUGUCAGAUUAGCUUGUUGGUAGGGUAAUGGCCUACCAAGGCUACGAUCUAUAGCUGGUUUUAGAGGAUGAUC
rnacentral:rRNA from 1 species